GAGAUUAUAAUGUUUAAUUUAGGAUAGGAUAGGUCAAAUACAAGGUUAGAUUAUAAUGUUUAAUUUAGGAUAGGAUAGGUCAAAUACAAGGCUAGAUAUAAUGUUUAAUUUAGGAUAGGAUAGGUCAAAUACAAGGCUAGAUAUAAUGUUUAAUUUAGGAUAGGAAAGGUCAAAUACAAGGUUAGAUUAUAAUGUUUAAUUUAGGAUAGGAUAGGUCAAAUACAAGGCUAGAUAUAAUGUUUAAUUUAGGAUAGGAUAGGUCAAAUACAAGGUUAGAUAUAAUGUUUAAUUUAGGAUAGGAUA